AGCGCCGAGAGAGCGAGUCGGCGCUACUGGCGCCGGGUCGGUCCGGGUAGGCGCAGCGGGACUGGACCUGGGUGCCGAGCGGAGCCGCUGCCAUGGGCCUGGGCGUCAGCGCUGAGCAGCCCGCAGGCGGCGCCGAGGGCUUCCACCUCCACGGGGUGCAGGAGAACUCCCCAGCCCAGCAGGCGGGCCUGGAGCCCUACUUUGACUUCAUCAUCACCAUUGGGCACUCGAGGCUGUGACCCUGCUGAGGGCUGCUGCCCACUAAGGCCCUUGCCCCAUCUCAGGCCCAGACUUGUCUGAGGGUCCUAGCCUGGGCAUGAGGUGGCCUUGGAGUCAGCCCCAUUGCCCCCACAGAACAAGGAGAAUGACACCCUGAAGGCACUACUGAAAGCCAAUGUGGAGAAGCCCGUGAAGCUGGAGGUGUUCAAUAUGAAGACCAUGAGGGUGCGCGAGGUGGAGGUGGUGCCCAGCAACAUGUGGGGCGGCCAGGGCCUACUGGGUGCCAGUGUGCGCUUCUGCAGCUUCCGCAGGGCCAGUGAGCAGGUGUGGCAUGUGCUG
rnacentral:sRNA from 1 species